CCUGACCGCACAGCAGCGCUGGCACACGGUCCGUGGAACAGCAAAGCAGCAAAAGUGUUAUUAUGGCCGGAAGACGAGUGUCCCCUCAGGUCUUCACCGGUGGAAAACUCAGGCAAAGCGUGAAAACAGCUGAUGACGUCACCAGAGGGGACGCCGGCUCAGCUUGGCCCCUCCUACAGCCCCAUGGUGAAGCGGCCCCUGUGUGACCUGGAUGCUGGCCACGCGGUCCUGGAAGCUGUAGGACCACAGACUGGGGAUGUCCUCAUCGCAAACCUCCAUCUUGCGACCAUCAAAGUUGGU